rnacentral:misc_RNA from 1 species
AGACCCUUUUCAUCGGUCAAUACCUUAUCCCAAUGGUUGUCCCGAGAUUGCUGGCCUUUUCAGAUAUUGCAGAGCAGAUCCUUAUCCUGGAUUCCUGCCAUGGACUAAAUGAGGUUUAUUGGCAUAUUUUUCGCUUGGUGAGUUACACUGCGGACUGAUGGUUUUGCCUAAACAACCAGGUUAGAUCUAACAUUCUUAAUGGGAACACACACAGCAUGCUAUU